AGAGUUUGAUCCUGGCUCAGGAUGAACGCUAGCGGCAGGCCUAACACAUGCAAGUCGAGGGGUAACAGGAGUAGUAAUACUUGCUGACGACCGGCGCACGGGUGAGUAACGCGUAUGCAAUCUACCUCUAACAGGGGGAUAGCCCGGAGAAAUUCGGAUUAAUACCGCAUGAUACUAUAUUAUGGCAUCAUAUUAUAGUUAAAACUUCGGUGGUUAGAGAUGAGCAUGCGUAUCAUUAGUUAGUUGGUGAGGUAAUAGCUCACCAAGACAUCGAUGAUUAUGGGGUCUAAAAGGAUGGUCCCACACACUGGUACUGAGACACGGACCAGACUCCUACGGGAGGCAGCAGUGAGGAAUAUUGGUCAAUGGGGGCAACCCUGAACCAGCCAUGCCGCGUGCAGGAUGACGGCCCUACGGGUUGUAAACUGCUUUUCUGAAGGAAUAAAGGUAUCCACGCGUGGAUAAUUGCAGGUACUUCAGGAAUAAGCAUCGGCUAACUCCGUGCCAGCAGCCGCGGUAAUACGGAGGAUGCGAGCGUUAUCCGGAUUUAUUAGGUUUAAAGGGUGCGUAGGCGGGAUAAUAAGUCAGUGGUGAAAUCCUACAGCUUAACUGUAGCACUGCCAUUGAUACUGUUAUUCUUGAGUUCAGUUGAGGUAGGCGGAAUGUGUAGUGUAGCGGUGAAAUGCAUAGAUAUUACACAGAACACCGAUUGCGUAGGCAGCCUACUAAGCUGCGACUGACGCUGAUGCACAAAGCGUGGGGAGCGAACAGGAUUAGAUACCCUGGUAGUCCACGCUGUAAACGAUGCUCACUCGCUGUUGGCGAUACAUUGUCAGCGGCUGAGGGAAACCAUUAAGUGAGCCACCUGGGGAGUACGUUGGCAACAAUGAAACUCAAAGGAAUUGACGGGGGCCCGCACAAGCGGAGGAACAUGUGGUUUAAUUCGAUGAUACGCGAGGAACCUUACCUGGGCUUAAAUGUAGAUUGAUUUUUGGCGAAAGUUGAUUUCCCUUCGGGGCAAUUUACAAGGUGCUGCAUGGUUGUCGUCAGCUCGUGCCGUGAGGUGUCGGGUUAAGUCCCAUAACGAGCGCAACCCCUAUUCUUAGUUGCCAGCGGGUCAAGCCGGGGACUCUAAGGAGACUGCCACCGUAAGGUGUGAGGAAGGUGGGGAUGACGUCAAAUCAGCACGGCCCUUAUGUCCAGGCUACACACGUGUUACAAUGGCCGGUACAAAGGGCAGCUACCUGGUGACAGGAUGCUAAUCUCAAAACCCGGUCUUAGUUCGGAUCGAAGUCUGCAACUCGACUUCGUGAAGCUGGAUUCGCUAGUAAUCGUGCAUCAGCAAUGGCACGGUGAAUACGUUCCCGGGCCUUGUACACACCGCCCGUCAAGCCAUGGAAGCUGGGGGUACCUGAAGUCCGUAACCGCGAGGAGCGGCCGAGGGUAAAACUGGUAACUGGGGCUAAGUCGCAACAAGGUA
rnacentral:rRNA from 1 species